GAAAAAAUCUAUAUAGAGCAUGUGCGUGUUUUGCCGUCUGUCUCUCCUUCGACGGUGGGCUUGUGGUUGUCAGAAGCUAACAGGAAAAGGGGAGGAAAUUCCCCUACACCAUCCACAGUCAAGAGAUGAUCUGAGAUUUCCUGCUUACCCCAGACCAACUACUGACUGUCAGCAGUGGCAGAAGAUGAUAGCUCCUGUUCCUUCCAGUGGCUCCCCAGACAGUUCCCUACGCCACAAGUUACAGAAGAGAAUCAGUGAAAUCCUGGAGAGGUGAGCAAAAGAGCAAGGAACGGAAUCCAAGUGCAGCUGGAAGACUCAGAGGAAAACAGCUGCUUUUGGGAUUCCGUUGCCCAUUCUUAUGCCUUCAUAGAAGCUGGUAACUGACUGAAAGCAGAACAGAAGGAGGCAAAUUCUGUUGCUGGAGAGACCAAGCUGCACACUGUGAACCCCACAGAGGAGAGCAACGCAUAUGACAGAGCAAGGGCGUGAACAUCAUUCCAGCAAGAGUAACACUGCACACUUAAAACCUGCAAGGAGACAAAGCCCAACGAAGGUCAAUAAACCUGUCUG